AAGUCGUAACAAGGUUUCCGUAGGUGAACCUGCGGAAGGAUCAUUAACACGUAUCCAAACGUUAAAACCCCCCCCGUGAACCUUCAUCCUGCUCUUGUAACCCGCGUAGUUCGCAAUCUCUGAUAAAUCAUAGCGCGGAAAGUUGUAGUGAUUUAGAGACCUCUGGCUACGUGCGAACAUUGGAGCAGUUACAAUCGAGCGGUAGUUCUAUAGGCAAUGAUUCCCCAAGCAGUCAGUGUCGGAAAGUGUCAUUGAUUGUGCAAGGAUAGCGCUUCUACGAUUCCCGUCGACCGUACACUCGGGCAGGAGCUUUGCCAAAAAGUUGAAGCUCAAUGUAAUACAUUGGGUAAAAAAACCGAACAACUGUUAACAAUGGAUAUCUUGGUUCUC
rnacentral:misc_RNA from 1 species